CGCGCAGCACUGUUUACCAGUUUGAUUUGUGAUACGCAUAUCGUGUAGUUCUACGCUCGAUUAUACCGUGGCUUUUAGUGUUCCCAUUAAUGUUGCAAGAAUAUAAAGGAUUUUUUUGUGAGAUUACCAGGAGCUUGCUAUUCGUAAUUGUUGAAUGUGAAACUUUUGCACGGAGAAAAACAAAAGACGGUGGAAACGUACGAGGGGAUAGCGUCUUCCAAAAGAAAUUAGUGAGACAAAAGGAACCAUUCUACUUUCAAACGAUCUCUACCAGAGAAAACAACGACCUGGACUCAGCGUAAUUGCAUUCUUCCCUGGAGACUCGGUGCUGGAAAAUCGAAGCUUGGCCAGUGAGGCGAGAUGAGACUCGAUUGUCUGGUCCAAGGUGCGCGGAUUGGACGACUUUCUCCGAUAGUUCGAACAGUACCGGUACCAGGAAAUCGCCUCAGGAGUGGAAAGGAAACCACCGAGAGGAUACCAUUGGAGGAGCGAGCAGGAGGUGACGAGACCGAAAUCGGCGACGGUGGAACCAUGAAGCUGGCGCGUGACUCUUGAACCGUGCGUGAAAGCUACGAGAUAAGGUUAGUUCUGCUGAACACACCUCUGCUGGAACUUGGGCAGAAGCACGAAACAAAGGAGACGUUUUCGAGGAAGAGCGAGUAGAGCUAAGAGAAGAAGGAUAUUCUUCGAGAGGGAUCUAGAGAUUCGCCUAAGUGCCGCCUCGUUCCGCGAUCAAAUGGCGCGUCGCGAUCAUUCGUCUUCGAUGUAACAGGCUGUCACUGGAAAUUCAGCGUGCUCCACGGAAUCGAUAGAACACCCACACGUGUAUCUUCAUCUUCGCGAAGUGCUUUCUGAAUUUAAAUUUUCUUAUUUAUUGCUCGAUAACGUAAUGAAUGAUAAAAGGUUAGGCAACGUGGGAGUGACGUUACGAUAAGCCAAGUUAUUACUUUAUUCAAUCAUUUGACAGUGAAAUUGAUUAGGUAUAGAGAAUAUAUGAUUUCAGUUAUUUUUAGAGGAAAUGUUAAUAAUUUUAAUAAUUUUAAUUAAUAUUAAUAGUUGCGUUGGAUACAAAGAUAUUUGAAAUAUGAAAUUUGUAGUAAUAUAUUUCACGGUUUGCCUCAGUUUCUUUCAGACUACCCUUUUCAGACUAAGUAAUUAAUGCUGGAACCACUGACCUUUAAUAUGUACAUAAAUAUAU